CAUUCCCUAAAGGUUUGAACUGAGGUAUGCGUACUAACAGUUUCUCAUGCUGUUAACUUUACUCAUGUCUAGCUACACAUGCUGAGAAUGAACUAAUCUACCAGAUUUUUAUCCUCUUUUGAAUACCAAACUAACCAGCAACCACUCCGUUCAGAAGCUCAGGGCCCCCUUCCCAUGACCCUGUCUGGCUACUGCCUGCACAUCAUGACGCUGCCUGGAAAAGUUGGGGAAAAAAAAAAUGUAAGUCUCGAGUGACCACAGACUGCCCUUUAUAGAGAAAGCAGUGUGAAGCUUCAAAAGUAACUGCCAAAGAAGUUUUUCUACCAAGCUUGUGAGUGGACAGGAAUGUUACUUUUUUUUUUUUUUUUAAUGAAAAAUGCUGAGGCAAGCCUAAUCUGAAAGAAAGGAAGGACAAAAAGAAAACCUUUUAAAAAAUAAAACAAAAACCUGGAGGAUAUAUAUGACAAGAGAAACUAAAAUGAACGCAGUGAUCAUAGCACAGUCUUUAAACAAAAGUGGCAUACAAUCUUUCUUUGAAAA
rnacentral:lncRNA from 1 species